UACGGGGGGUGCGAGCGUUGUCCGGAAUCACUGGGCGUAAAGGGUGCGUAGGCGGGUCUUUAAGUCAGGGGUGAAAUCCUGGAGCUCAACUCCAGAACUGCCUUUGAUACUGAAGAUCUUGAGUUCGGGAGAGGUGAGUGGAACUGCGAGUGUAGAGGUGAAAUUCGUAGAUAUUCGCAAGAACACCAGUGGCGAAGGCGGCUCACUGGCCCGAUACUGACGCUGAGGCACGAAAGCGUGGGGAGCAAACAGGG
rnacentral:rRNA from 1 species